rnacentral:rRNA from 1 species
GACGAACGCUGGCGGCGUGCCUAAUACAUGCAAGUAGAACGCUGAAGAGAGGAGCUUGCUCUUCUUGGAUGAGUUGCGAACGGGUGAGUAACGCGUAGGUAACCUGCCUUGUAGCGGGGGAUAACUAUUGGAAACGAUAGCUAAUACCGCAUAACAAUGGAUGACACAUGUCAUUUAUUUGAAAGGGGCAAUUGCUCCACUACAAGAUGGACCUGCGUUGUAUUAGCUAGUAGGUGAGGUAACGGCUCACCUAGGCGACGAUACAUAGCCGACCUGAGAGGGUGAUCGGCCACACUGGGACUGAGACACGGCCCAGACUCCUACGGGAGGCAGCAGUAGGGAAUCUUCGGCAAUGGGGGCAACCCUGACCGAGCAACGCCGCGUGAGUGAAGAAGGUUUUCGGAUCGUAAAGCUCUGUUGUAAGUCAAGAACGAGUGUGAGAGUGGAAAGUUCACACUGUGACGGUAGCUUACCAGAAAGGGACGGCUAACUACGAGCCAGCAGCCGCGGUAAUACGUAGGUCCCGAGCGUUGUCCGGAUUUAUUGGGCGUAAAGCGAGCGCAGGCGGUUUGAUAAGUCUGAAGUUAAAGGCUGUGGCUCAACCAUAGUUCGCUUUGGAAACUGUCAAACUUGAGUGCAGAAGGGGAGAGUGGAAUUCCAUGUGUAGCGGUGAAAUGCGUAGAUAUAUGGAGGAACACCGGUGGCGAAAGCGGCUCUCUGGUCUGUAACUGACGCUGAGGCUCGAAAGCGUGGGGAGCGAACAGGAUUAGAUACCCUGGUAGUCCACGCCGUAAACGAUGAGUGCUAGGUGUUGGAUCCUUUCCGGGAUUCAGUGCCGCAGCUAACGCAUUAAGCACUCCGCCUGGGGAGUACGACCGCAAGGUUGAAACUCAAAGGAAUUGACGGGGGCCCGCACAAGCGGUGGAGCAUGUGGUUUAAUUCGAAGCAACGCGAAGAACCUUACCAGGUCUUGACAUCCCGAUGCUAUUUCUAGAGAUAGAAAGUUACUUCGGUACAUCGGUGACAGGUGGUGCAUGGUUGUCGUCAGCUCGUGUCGUGAGAUGUUGGGUUAAGUCCCGCAACGAGCGCAACCCCUAUUGUUAGUUGCCAUCAUUCAGUUGGGCACUCUAGCGAGACUGCCGGUAAUAAACCGGAGGAAGGUGGGGAUGACGUCAAAUCAUCAUGCCCCUUAUGACCUGGGCUACACACGUGCUACAAUGGUUGGUACAACGAGUUGCGAGUCGGUGACGGCAAGCUAAUCUCUUAAAGCCAAUCUCAGUUCGGAUUGUAGGCUGCAACUCGCCUACAUGAAGUCGGAAUCGCUAGUAAUCGCGGAUCAGCACGCCGCGGUGAAUACGUUCCCGGGCCU